ACGCCUUGAGUGCUGAGUCGGCUCUGUCAGCGUCUAAUAAAUGAAGCCCAUAGGAUUUGAAUUGAAUAGGCGCUUGCAGCGCUAAAGCGCGUUUGGUGAACACAGGCAUCUAGGAAUGGAACUGUGGAACAUUCAUCUGACAAUGUUGACGUUGGUUUGGCCAGUUCAAAUAACGAAUAUAUUUUUCGGUAGGCGCAUGCGCACACGCAAAUCACUGAGCUCUUCAGUGAGUAUACGGAAAUCGCCGAGCUUUUCCAGUUGGCGUACGCCGUAUAUACCUGCGUAUCACGUAGACUACACCACUGCUUUGGACAAUGUAACAAGCAGGCACUCGCUUGGACUUGUCUCUCAUUUCUUUCUGUAAAUUCAGAUCGACAGAUGGCAUCACAAACAGCCAGGGAGGGAUCGCUGAAAUUGGAACUGUUUUGCUGUACUGGCGACUGUGUCGACCUGCUUCACCUGCCUUGACAUCACCAAUCCAUCCAAAACUACAUCUGACAGCUGCGUUUCCCUGCCUAUGCUACUGCAGUAGUGUCUCCAAUAUCUUUUCUACAAUUUUCAUCCCACCAGGGAACCAUCCCAUUCUCUCUGCCUCCUACUGUCUUUGGAAUUGUUUCCUCUGCUGUCUGUAUGAUUGCUGUCACCAACUUAUUGUUAAACUCCUCUACACCAGUAAUAUCCUCCCUAACCAGUUCUUCACAUCUUAUUUAAUAUUUGAAAUUUGUCUCAGUUGGCUUCUUUGAAAUUCCACCUUGGCAUCCCCAUUGAUAUUUCCUGACAUACUUCUGUACCAACUUUGAUCACUAUAGGAUAAUGAUCACUACUGACAGGUGUUUUAUUAAUCACUUCCCAUGUUGUAAUACCUGCUAUUUCCUGCAAUGUGAGCGUGAGGUCAAUUGAACUUUGUGUUUUGUAUACAGUUAUAUUUUGUGCCUUUAUCAUAGUUAACACGCACUAAUAGUUUCUCAUCAAUAAAAUCUUCUAUACUUGAACCAUUAGUAUCUGUAUCCCUACUACCCCACAGUGUACUACGAGCAUGAAAGUCCCCACACCGUAUUACUUUACCCUGCAGCCUUCCACCAAUAAUAUUUAACAUGUCUUUAGUCAACCUUUUACAAGGGUUAUAAUAAUUAAUGAUUGAAAUCUCCUCUUGUCCUUAUUGACUACAUUUGUACCUCAUCCCAUUCUGCACAAAUAUUAGCACCCCUCCACCUUUACCAUAUUUCCUGUCAUUUCUAAUAGCAGUGUAUCCAUGUAGAAUAAAAUCCCAUUUUGGUUUCAGCCAGGUUUCCUGUAUGCAGAUUAUGUUUGGUUUAUCUUGUAAAUUUAUUAAGAAAUGUUUA